rnacentral:lncRNA from 1 species
UUCAAGCCAGGGAUGGCUUCAAUCCUGGAGGCCGCGCUGUCAGUUCCGGUCGGAGUCUGUGGCCUGGAGUGAGCACUAAUGGUUCUUUUUCCAGGCCCGCCCAUGGCCACCCAUGGACCAAUCAGCAUGCACUUCCUCCCUUCUGAACCCAUAAAAACCCCGCUCCCCGGACGCAGCCGGAGUCACGCGAAGUCGGAAGUACCAGCUGCGGGAAGGAGCUGCCCACUGUGCGUCUUCUCAACUUGUUGGGACAACCUUCCUGCGGAAAGGAGAGACAACCUUCCUGCAGAAAGGAGCUACCUGCUUCAGGUCUACUGAGAGCUGUUCUGCCACUCAAUAAAGCUCUUCUCCAUCUUGCUAAGCCUCCAUUUGUCCGCAAUACCUCAUCUCCCUGGACGCAGGACAAGAACUCAGGACCCGCCUGGAGGUGCCCACAGCAGAAUCCACAUGCCGUCCAUCUGGUCCAGCCUCACGCAGAGCCACAACUGUGCUGGCGCCUGGAGCUGCCAGCCCCACUGCAGCAGCCGGACUGACAUUCAGACGUGGAGCAAGUUGGACUGCAUAGGGACCCACCAGUGAGAUGGACGCUGUCUGUAAACGACUUUCACUGAAUGUGCUAAGAAGAGAAACCCCUCUGCAGACACACACAGACGUUCUGCAGUUUCCCAAUCUCUGGUGCAGUUCUGGCCUUUUGGGGCUUUAAGGGCUUUGGCUAAGGUUCUCCAGGGAGGCUGCUCUGCCAAGUCUGGUAUUUCAUGAAUAGAUCUGAAAACAGACAUUAUCUCUUCUCCCAGUGAAGAGAGAGCGAUGAAGCCUCAGGACAAAAGGAGGCAGUGGGAUGAUGCCACCAAGGGACCAUUCUGAAGAGCCAUCAGCAAAAAGCAGCCACACCUGCUUAUGUGGCUCUGGGACAAAUGAUCUGAGCCGUGACGUGGAACUUAGAUGCAGUAAAGUCCAUUGUAUUGAGCCUUCUCUGGCACUCCUCCCAAAACAGAGAGACAACAGUUCUGUUAUGUUUUGUUUGGUUUGGUCUCCCUCAACUCAUCAAUGAGCCUUUUUAAAAAGAAUAAUUCGGUACUUUCUUUAAAGGUGGUAGAAUUGGCUCUUACUCUAGUCUGUUUUCUCCUUCCUAAGGGAGGAGCAUCCUUCUUGUUAACACAGAACCCCAAACUAUCUGAUCAGAAAGAAAAUAAUUCAAUCUGCUGUUUGAAUUGACUUCCAGCAGCGUCUUAAAUUUUAAUUGGCCCCCGGCCUAAAACAACCUCAAACUGUAUGUCUUCCAUACUCCUCUCACCACCACCAUCACCACUGCCCCUACAACCACUCUAAGCAUAGUACAUAUGGUGAACAUACCAUGAUAUUGAAUGCUAUUCUCACUCUGCCUUCUCUUAAUCUGAUCUUACUCAGGUUCUGACAGUUGACGCUGAAAACAUUUUUUGUUGUUGUUGUGGUUGAGACAGAGUUUCGCACUUGUUGCCCAGGCUGGA